AGAGUUUGAUUAUGGCUCAGAAUGAACGCUGGCGGCGUGCUUAACACAUGCAAGUCGAACGAUGAAGCCUAGCUUGCUAGGUGGAUUAGUGGCGCACGGGUGAGUAAUAUAUAGAUAACGUGCCUCUUAGUCUGGGAUAGCCAUUGGAAACGAUGAUUAAUACUGGAUACUCCUUCUAACUCUAAUGUUAGUCGGGAAAGUUUUUCGCUAAGAGAUCGGUCUAUAUCCCAUCAGUUAGUUGGUAAGGUAACGGCUUACCAAGGCAAUGACGGGUAGCGGGUUUGAGAGGAUGAUCCGCCACACUGGUACUGAGACACGGACCUGACUCCUACGGGAGGCAGCAGUGAGGAAUAUUGCACAAUGGAGGAAACUCUGAUGCAGCAACGCCGCGUGGAGGAUGACGCAUUUCGGUGUGUAAACUCCUUUUAUAUGUCAAGAAAAUGACGGUAGCAUAUGAAUAAGCACCGGCUAACUCCGUGCCAGCAGCCGCGGUAAUACGGAGGGUGCAAGCGUUAUUCGGAAUCACUGGGCGUAAAGGACGCGUAGGCGGGAUGCCAAGUCUGAUGUGAAAUCCUAUGGCUUAACCAUAGAACUGCAUUGGAAACUGGUAACCUAGAGUAUGGGAGGGGGGAGAUGGAAU
rnacentral:rRNA from 1 species